CCGGCCACUGCCCACAGCCCGUAGCUUGAUGGGUCCCAGUGGCACCUAUCCAGUGGACACGGGACAAAUAACACCGACAGAGCCAGUGGACAUUUGUUCCCGAGGACCCACCCCGUGCUCCAGAUCUGGCCCGCCUGGCAGGCUGCGCACAUGCACACGUGUGGGCACGGGGAGAGGCACUCGGACCCUCUGUUCUGGCUACGGCCCGGGGACUCACCAUCACCCCACAGAAAUGCCCCCAUGCAGUCGAGCCGCUGAAACACAGCUGUGUGCCCGUGGGUGUGGAAGCCGCACAGACCGCACCUGUGCAUACACCCGUGAUUGGUACACCUCCCUGACGCACCCUCCCCCUCCCCUCCCCUCCCCUCCCCUCCCCUCCCCUCCCCUCCUCUCCUCCAGGGCAAACUGGGGCGCAUUGGGCUCCUGGCUGCAAGGGAGACCCCGGGAGUCGGGGCCCCGAUGGAUACGCAGGCGACGCCGGCAGCCCUGGGGAGCAAGGGGACCAGGGCACCAAGGGAGAUGCUGGCCGCCCGGGACGCAGAGGACCCCCAGGAGACAACGGGGCCAAAGGCAGCAAGGGGUAUCAAGGCAACAACGGGGCCCCCGGCAGUCCCGGUGUGAAAGGAGGCCAAGGGCUGGCCUGGCCCCCGAGGACCCAAAGGCGAGCCUGGGCGCAGAGGGGACCCAGGAGCCAAGGGCAGCCCGGGCGGUGACGGCCCCAAGGGUGAGAAGGGAGACCCUGGCCCUGAGGGGCCCCGGGGUCUGGCUGGAGAGGUUGGCAACAAAGGAGCCAAGGGAGACCGAGGCUUGCCUGGACCCAGAGGCCCUCAGGGGCUCUCGGAGAGCCCGGGAAGAAGGGAUCUCGGGGAGACCCCGGUGA
rnacentral:lncRNA from 1 species